rnacentral:rRNA from 1 species
CCUACGGUGGACUGCAGUGGGGCAUAUUGGGCAAUGGGCGCAAGCCUGACCCAGCGACGCCGCGUGAAUGAAGAAGGCUUUCGGGUUGUAAACUUCUUUUCUGCGGGACGAAGAAAGUGACGGUACCUCAGGAAUAAGCCACGGCUAACUACGUGCCAGCAGCCGCGGUAAUACGUAGGUGGCAAGCGUUAUCCGGAUUUAUUGGGUGUAAAGGGCGUGUAGGCGGGAAAGCAAGUCAGAUGUGAAAACUCAGGGAUCAACCCCGGGCCUGCAUUUGAAACUGUUUUUCUUGAGUGCUGGAGAGGCAAUCGGAAUUCCGUGUGUAGCGGUGAAAUGCGUAGAUAUAAGGAGGAACACCAGUGGCGAAGGCGGAUUGCUGGACAGUAACUGACGCUGAGGCGCGAAAGCGUGGGGAGCAAACAGGAUUAGAUACCCGGGUAGUC